GGAUCAAUAUGUUGGUCGUGCCUUGGUACGUACUAAUUUAUCGGUUUCUUCCUUCUGACGAACCUUGAUGUGAUUAAUUUGGUGUCUUGGGGAAUCAGGACUGUUACUUUGAAAAAAUUAGAGUGUUUAAAGCAGGCUCACGCUUGAAUAUUAGCAUGGAAUAAUGAAAUAGGACGUUUGAUUCUAUUUUGUAGGUUUCUAGGAUUGACGUA
rnacentral:rRNA from 1 species